GACGAACGCUGGCGGCGUGCUUAACACAUGCAAGUCGAACGGGAUCCAUACGUUGGAGUCUUCGGACGAAGAUGUAUGGUGAGAGUGGCGGACGGGCGAGUAACGCGUGAGCAACCUGCCCUAUGCAGGGGGAUAACACCGGGAAACUGGUGCUAAUACCGCAUAAGACCACACUGGCACAUGUCAGAGUGGUAAAAGCUCCGGCGGCAUAGGAUGGGCUCGCGUCCAAUUAGCUUGUUGGUGGGUAAAGGCCUACCAAGUCAGCGAUCGGAGCCGGACUGAGAGGUUGAACGGCCACAUUGGGACUGAGACACGGCCCAGACUCCUACGGGAGGCAGCAGUGGGGAAUCUUGGACAAUGGGCGCAAGCCUGAUCCAGCCAUGCCGCGUGAGUGAAGAAGGUCUUCGGAUUGUAAAGCUCUUUCGGCGGGGAAGAAAUUGCUCAGGAUAAUACCUUGAGUAGAUGACGUACCCGCAUAAGAAGCACC
rnacentral:rRNA from 1 species